GAUGAACGCUGGCGGCGUGCCUAAUACAUGCAAGUCGAGCGAACAGAUGAGGAGUUUGCUCCUCUGACGUUAGCGGCGGACGGGUGAGUAACACGUGGAUAACCUACCUAUAAGACUGGGAUAACUUCGGGAAACCGGAGCUAAUACCGGAUAAUAUAUUGAACCGCAUGGUUCAAUAGUGAAAGACGGUUUUGCUGUCACUUAUAGCUUGAUCCGCGCCGCAUUAGCUAGUUGGUAAGGUAACGGCUUACCAAGGCGACGAUGCGUAGCCGACCUGAGAGGGUGAUCGGCCACACUGGAACUGAGACACGGUCCAGACUCCUACGGGAGGCAGCAGUAGGGAAUCUUCCGCAAUGGGCGAAAGCCUGACGGAGCAACGCCGCGUGAGUGAUGAAGGUCUUCGGAUCGUAAAACUCUGUUAUUAGGGAAGAACAAAUGUGUAAGUAACUAUGCACGUCUUGACGGUACCUAAUCAGAAAGCCACGGCUAACUACGUG
rnacentral:rRNA from 1 species